GAGCGGCAAGGGGAGCUUGCUCCCCCUAGAGCGGCGGACUGGUGAGUAACACGUGGGUGAUCUGCCCUUGGGAUGGGGAUAGCCAUUAGAAAUAGUGGGUAAUACCGAAUACGUCCGCGUAGCCGAGGCUACGCGAAGAAAGGCGCUACGGCGCCGCCCGAGGAUGAGCCUGCGCCUCAUUAGCUAGUUGGUGGGGUAAGAGCCUACCAAGGCGAUGAUGAGUAGCCGGCCUGAGAGGGUGUACGGCCACACUGGGACUGAGAUACGGCCCAGACUCCUACGGGAGGCAGCAGCUAAGAAUAUUCCGCAAUGGACGAAAGUCUGACGGAGCGACGCCGCGUGGAUGACGAAGGCCGUGAGGUUGUAAAAUCCUUUUGUCGGGGAAGAAUAAGCAUGGGAGGGAAUGCCCGUGCGAUGACAUGAACCGGCGAAUAAGCCCCGGCUAACUACGUGCCAGCAGCCGCGGUAACACGUAGGGGGCGAGCGUUGUUCGGAAUUACUGGGCGUAAAGGGCAUGUAGGCGGUUUGGUAAGCCUGACGUGAAAGGCUAUGGCUCAACCAUGGCAUGGCGUUGGGAACUGCUAGACUUGAAUCACGGAGAGGGAGCUGGAAUUCCAGGUGUAGGGGUGAAAUCUGUAGAUAUCUGGAAGAACACCAGUGGCGAAGGCGAGCUCCUGGCCGAUGAUUGACGCUGAGGUGCGAAAGUGUGGGGAUCAAACAGGAUUAGAGAUCCUGGUAGUCCACACUGUCAACGAUGUGCACUAGUGCUGGGGCGGACGCUUCAGUGCCGGAGCUAACG
rnacentral:rRNA from 1 species